rnacentral:rRNA from 1 species
GACGAACCGUCCAAACGUUAUUCGGAAUCACUGGGCUUACAGAGUUCGUAGGCGGUCUGGAAAGUUGGGUGUGAAAUCCCUCGGCUCAACCGAGGAACUGCGCUUGAAACUACCAGACUCGAGGGAGAUAGAGGAAAGCGGAACUGAUGGUGGAGCGGUGAAAUGCGUUGAUAUCAUCAGGAACACCGGUGGCGAAGGCGGCUUUCUGGUCUGUAACUGACGCUGAGGCGCGAAAGCGUGGGGAGCAAACAGG